rnacentral:tRNA from 1 species
GGGUAGAGCUCAGUGGUAGAGCACAUGCUUAGCACGCACGAGAUCCUGGGUUCAAUCCCCAGUACCGCCA